rnacentral:lncRNA from 1 species
GUCUAACACAGUAUGUGUACAGUUGCAGCAGUUUAAAUGGCAUUGAUCAUUUUCAACUUUGUAUUGUACUGAUCGUAACUUAAUGAGGUUUUGGUGUUCUAUCAAGUCAGGGUAUUUAUGCAGAAAAAGGAACCAAAAAGAGCAGGUUUUGAUUAAAAAUGUGUAUGGGCUUUUGGGACCUGGUUUAAAUAUUUUAGAUCUUGAGCAAGCAUGGAGCCUGCAGUUGAAGUUAUUUAUCUUCUCCCCAGACAAAUCUGGCUGGGGGGAGGGGUGGCAGUGCUCAAACGCUUGAUUUUAAUUACUGUUGUUGUUUGCAAGUAUUUUUCUUCUGUCAUUUCUGUUCUUCUUCUCCCCCUAAACAGAUGAUCAGCAGACAACAUGGACUCCCGUCUAACUUGCAGAUUUAAUUUGGAAACCUGAGCAUCCAACGCAAAUAUGAAACACAAGCUGCAGUUGGAUUCUCCUCCAAAUCUUUGCCGCUCGCUCCGAGAAUUCAGUCGCUCCCUUUGUCAGGCUUAGUGUGAGGCUGAAAAACUUUCCCUUCUCACCUCCUUCUGGGUCUCUUUGUGUGUCCAUAAAUGAAUGUGUGUGUGUGUGUGCAUGCACAGGAGUCGUCAUGCCAGACGGCAUUCCACAGCAGAAGCGAGGAAGGAACAAAGGAAAAAAAGGAGACUGAAGCAAGGAAGAAGAAUAGAUACCAAGGGAGAAGAAUAGAGAAGAUGGACAACAAGUGGAAAAGAAAGAAAUUAUAUGAGCAUGCACACAAUAACAAACACAUUAUCCAAAACCAGUGGCUUGCCGUGAGGAAGAUGACCAUGUGCUGCUAACAAUGAAGAGCUUUGGCAAAUUCUUGCAGGCAAGGAGGAAGGACUUAGGACCCCAGCCCUGGGGUAGUUCAAUGUGCAACUGCAAGGCUUGGAAAGUUACUUUCUCCGUGGCAGUCAAACCAGCCAGCACAACUCAGCAGAGAGGACUGGGACGACCAUUGUAAAUUACCUUGUAUAGCAGGAUCAUCUGUACUGUUUUUAAGCCUGCAGAGCAGAACAAAAUCUCAGCAAUUUCAGGCCACCAAAACAUUUCUUCACAGUAGUCCCUUUUCAAUACUGUCAUCAUCAACACGUGGUAAACGAGAUGGUUCAAAAUCUCAGGCCUGGAUCUUGUACAGAUGCUUGCUAUCUAUUUCCUGUCAAGGUUCCCACUGAUACCAAGGAACAAGGAGCUCAAAUACCUCUGUGGAGCUGAGGUUUGGAGUGCAAGACAAAUACAUGGGGAGGAUAAAGAGAGAGUACAGCACAGAGAGAGCUGUUUCACAGCCUCCAGGCAGCUCUAAAUUAGAUGAAGGCAUUGCUCCAACUCCAAGCCAGCCCUUUGGAGAUGCUUCAGCAGCCCACAUCUGUGCUACAGAGAUUCACUGGGGUUGUUCAUAGUGAGCUCCCAAGGAAAGACCCAGUGUUCAAGCAAAACACAAGUUGCCUCAGAGUGCCAGGACACAGGGUCUGAAAUUUCCCCACUUUUACAUUUUUUUUUUCCUGCAGGAGGUCUGUUCACAGAGCCAGCACAAAGAAGCCUUCUAGGCAUGGAAGGCUCACUGCUUUGUGUAGGCACGAAGGAAGGAGGAAACAGGACACUUCAGGUAUUUAUUUUAAAAGUCUAUUAUGCAUUUGGAUGGCUACUGGUGCCAAAACUAAUCAUGCUAGUGGAAGAGGUACAGAAACAGAACAAGCAAAGCAUGGAGAGCAAGUAAAAGGGAAGGAGCCUGAAAUAACAAGCAGAAAAGGUAAGUCUACAGAUCAGAGGGUUUUCAAUGUGUUGCACAUGCUGCAACCU